rnacentral:pre_miRNA from 1 species
CAGCCCUUGAUGGAGAAGCAGGGCACGUGCAAGAUGAAGUUGAGAACCUCCUCCACACUCUCAUUGCACGUGCUCCCCUUCUCCAACAUGGGUUU